GGGGGGUAUUUUUGACACGUUUCGACAUACUAAUUGACUGACAGCAAUCUCAGACAUCUGUGAUAAUUAGUUAGUUUGUCAGGUGAGUUCAAUUAUAGAAAAAACUACUAAAAAAGGACGUUCCAAAUUUUCAAGCAACAUGGGAAAGAAAAAGGAUCUCUGCUGGUGAAACACAUGACAUACAUGCUUUGGACAAAAUAUUACGACUUUGGAUAUUUCACGAAAACAUGGGUCAACAGCAGCAUCAAAGCUCCUUGCUGCCUGACCUCCAUUAUAUGGACUGUCUGUGGAGAAGUCUAAAGAUCUGGACGUGGCGGCGGGCGCAAAGGAGGAGGAGCUCGCCCAGGAGGAGGGGGCAGUGUGCCAGCUGGUGGGAGACAGGG